CAUAUCAAUAAGCGGAGGAAAAGAAACCAACAGGGAUUGCCUUAGUAGCGGCGAGUGAAGCGGCAAAAGCUCAAAUUUGAAAUCUGGCUCUUUCAGAGUCCGAGUUGUAAUUUGAAGAAGGUAUCUUUGGGUCUGGCUCUUGUCUAUGUUUCUUGGAACAGAACGUCACAGAGGGUGAGAAUCCCGUGCGAUGAGAUGAUCCAGGCCUAUGUAAAGUUCCUUCGAAGAGUCGAGUUGUUUGGGAAUGCAGCUCUAAGUGGGUGGUAAAUUCCAUCUAAAGCUAAAUAUUGGCGAGAGACCGAUAGCGAACAAGUACAGUGAUGGAAAGAUGAAAAGAACUUUGAAAAGAGAGUGAAAAAGUACGUGAAAUUGUUGAAAGGGAAGGGCUUGAGAUCAGACUUGGUAUUUUGUAUGUUACUUCUUCGGGGGUGGCCUCUACAGUUUAUCGGGCCAGCAUCAGUUUGGGCGGUAGGAGAAUUGCGUUGGAAUGUGGCACGGCUUCGGUUGUGUGUUAUAGCCUUCGUCGAUACUGCCAGCCUAGACUGAGGACUGCGGU
rnacentral:rRNA from 1 species